UCAAUACCGACGUGUAAUUAGUCACGCAAGUAGUAAGAGAGCAAGUCGGAGCAAAAGAGAUGUUUUUGCAACAAAUUAAUCUAGGAAGACACCAUUGAAGGACUGUACGAAAACGCCAUUGAAGCUGGUUCUACUUCUUGAAGAAGCUUGCUGUGUGCAGACGUGGAGGCCCGUGGCGUGACGAGCGGGCCCGGAGCGUGUCAGGCGGUAGCGCAGGACGGCGUGAGGACAGCGGCCGGUCCCACUUCCAGUCCUUUAUAAGGUACAGCUGGACCCCGCCCACGAUAUUCCACCCCUCCCUUCCUCCUCUCCUGCACAUUUCAAUAUGGAGUCAGGAAGGAGGCCCCUGCAAAAAAAAGACCUGUGUGGCCCC